CGACGGUUUUCAGACUCUCGAUCGUUGCACCGAUAGGCAUCUUUACUGAACGUUCUGGAGCAGCAACAUGGGACGGACCAGCUUUCUUUGGUUGCUGCUGCUAGUGGCUUCUGCAACAGGCAGCUAUCGAAGCUACGGGCACUACGGAUACGGUUACCCCUUUCCUUACUACGGCCUCGGAUAUGGGAGGUACGGCCUCGGGGGAUAUGGCCUCGGCUACGGUCUGGGAGGCUACGGACUCGGGGGCUACGGGCUCGGACAUGGCUACGGUUUUCCCAAGAUAUGGGGCUGACAAAAAGGCGAAGAGAGGCCGCCCUGCAUAAAAACAAAAAAAUCUCCAGGAAGACAGUAAAGAAGAGGCUCACAUUUUUUUCAAGUGGCACGUAGCGUGAGGUCCAUCCAUCAAGGUCCCAGGGGGCACUUGUUCAAACCGCGGAGAGACCCGCCUAGAAUGUCAUCGCCUAUGAAAUCAACGUCGCAGAUUGCUAGUCAAUAAAAGAAGGG